UGGGGGAUAUUGCACAAUGGGCGAAAGCCUGAUGCAGCGACGCCGCGUGGGGGAUGAAGGCCUUCGGGUUGUAAACUUCUUUUGCUCUGCACAAGGCAUGCCUUUGGGGUGUGCUGAGUGUAGGGGUUGAUUAGCGCCGGCUAACUACGUGCCAGCAGCCGCGGUAAUACGUAGGGCGCGAGCGUUGUCCGGAAUUAUUGGGCGUAAAGGGCUUGUAGGUGGCUGGUUGCGUCUGUCGUGAAAGCUCAUGGCUUAACUGUGGGUUUGCGGUGGGUACGGGCUGGCUUGAGUGCAGUAGGGGAGGCUGGAAUUCCUGGUGUAGCGGUGGAAUGCGAAGAUAUCAGGAGGAAUACCGGUGGCGAAGGCGGGUCUCUGGGCUGUUACUGACGCAGAGGAGCGAAAGCGUGGGGAGCGAACAGG
rnacentral:rRNA from 1 species